ACAUGGGGAAGCCCUGGAGUAGCCGUCACAGACAGCCUGGGAAAACUAUAACACACCACACCUCCUGCAGCCUCUAACCCAGCCUCAGAUUGACAGAUUCAGUGAGAACACUGCCCCUCACUCUGGCCUGGAACCCCAGAGUGGCUGGCUGAAGCAUAUGGGGUUUAACUGCUAUACUAGGAAUAACACAUCCAUAUUGCACAUAUGGCACAAUGAUGUGAGCAACAGAGAACUAGGACACCAUCAAGGAAGAUGAAGAGUGGUUUCAUUUAAACAUGAACACACAGAGAUGUGAACAGCAGAGCUAAAAUAUCAGAUGUUUGGAUAGAAACUGCUGUGGGAAGGCAGUGUCUUUGCUAGCCCUCACUGCAUAAAGUGCAGGAUGAGAAACAAAAGCACUGAUGGGCCUUGUGUUGGUGCUGACUAGGACAGAUCCUAUUCUGCAGUGACUGGAGAAAAAAACAUAAAAGAGAAUACAAAGAAAGA